rnacentral:rRNA from 1 species
UACAGAGGUCUCAAGCGUUGUUCGGAUUCAUUGGGCGUAAAGGGUGCGUAGGCGGCGCGGUAAGUCGGGUGUGAAAUCUCGGGGCUUAACUCCGAAACUGCAUUCGAUACUGCCGUGCUUGAGGACUGGAGAGGAGACUGGAAUUUACGGUGUAGCGGUGAAAUGCGUAGAUAUCAGGAGGAACACCGAUGGCGAAGGCAGGUCUCUGGGCAUUAACUGACGCUGAGGAGCGAAAGCAUGGGGGAGCGAACAGG